CUACGUGCCAGCAGCCGCGGUAAUACGUAGGUGGCAAGCGUUGUCCGGAAUUAUUGGGCGUAAAGCGCGCGCAGGCGGAUCGGUCAGUCUGUCUUAAAAGUUCGGGGCUUAACCCCGUGAUGGGAUGGAAACUGCCAAUCUAGAGUAUCGGAGAGGAAAGUGGAAUUCCUAGUGUAGCGGUGAAAUGCGUAGAUAUUAGGAAGAACACCAGUGGCGAAGGCGACUUUCUGGACGAAAACUGACGCUGAGGCGCGAAAGCCAGGGGAGCGAACGGGAUUAGAUACCCCGGUAGUCCUGGCCGUAAACGAUGGGUACUAGGUGUAGGAGGUAUCGACCCCUUCUGUGCCGGAGUUAACGCAAUAAGUACCCCGCCUGGGGAGUACGACCGCAAGGUUGAAACUCAAAGGAAUUGACGGGGGCCCGCACAAGCGGUGGAGUAUGCGGUUUAAUUCGACGCAACGCGAAGAACCUUACCAGGUCUUGACAU
rnacentral:rRNA from 1 species